CCCUUAGAGUUUGAUCAUGGCUCAGGACGAACGCUGGCGGCGUGCCUAAUACAUGCAAGUUGAGCGUUGGUACUUGUACCAAGAGCAGCGAACGGGUGAGUAACGCGUGGGGAAUCUGCCUUUGAGCGGGGGACAACAUUUGGAAACGAAUGCUAAUACCGCAUAAAAACUUAACACAAGUUUAAGUUGAAAGAUGAUUGCAUCACUCAAAGAUGAUCCCGCGUUGUAUUAGCUAGUUGGUGAGGUAAAGGCUCACCAAGGCGAUGAUACAUAGCCGGCCUGAGAGGGUGAUCGGCCACAUUGGGACUGAGACACGGCCCAAACUCCUACGGGAGGCAGCAGUAGGGAAUCUUCGGCAAUGGACGAAAGUCUGACCGAGCAACGCCGCGUGAGUGAAGAAGGUUUUCGGAUCGUAAAACUCUGUUGGUAGAGAAGAACGUUGGUGAGGAAACUCAUCAAGUGACGGUAACUACCCAGAAAGGGACGGCUAACUACGUGCCAGCAGCCGCGGUAAUACGUAGGUCCCGAGCGUUGUCCGGAUUUAUUGGGCGUAAAGCGAGCGCAGUGGUUUAUUAAGUCUGGUGUAAAAGGCAGUGGCUCAACCAUUGUAUGCAUUGGAAACUGGUAGACUUGAGUGCAGGAGAGGAGAGUGGAAUUCCAUGUGUAGCGGUGAAAUGCGUAGAUAUAUGGAGGAACACCGGUGGCGAAAGCGGCUCUCUGGCUGUAACUGACACUGAGCUCGAAAGCGUGGGGAGCAAACAGGAUUAGAUACCUGGG
rnacentral:rRNA from 1 species